AUUGAACGCUGGCGGCAGGCCUAACACAUGCAAGUCGAGCGAGCGGCGGACGGGUGAGUAAUGUAUGGGGACUGCCCGAUAGAGGGGGAUAACUACUGGAAACGGUGGCUAAUACCGCAUACUAUCGGAUAACCCAUAUGGGAUUAGCUAGUAGGUGGGGUAAUGGCUCACCUAGGCGACGAUCCCUAGCUGGUCUGAUAGGAUGACCAGCCCCACGGGAAAUGAGACACGGUCCAGACUCCUACGGAGUCAGCAGUGGGGAAUCUUGCACAAUGGGCGAAAGCCUGAUGCAGCCAUGCCGCGUGGGUGAAGAAGGCCUUCGGGUUGUAAAGCACUUUCAGCGAGGAGGCGUUACUCGCAGAAGAAGCACCGGCUAACUCCGUGCCAGCAGCCGCGGUAAUUC
rnacentral:rRNA from 1 species